rnacentral:lncRNA from 1 species
GGUCAUUAACAGGCCCACACUCUCAGUGUCUGAGACCAGCUUCUUGUUCUGUCCUCAAGCACCGUUUAGAUGACUGCCUGUCAGAAGGAAUGGCAGAUGUGUCCUCCCUGAGUGUCUGUCCUGGUGAAAUGUAGGACCCUCAUAUGUACUGACUAUGUAGGACCCUCAAGGCCAAACGAUGUCACCUGCCUUUUAAAGGAUGAUGUGGUAUCUUCGGAAACUACUCCAGG